rnacentral:rRNA from 1 species
GACGAACCGAGCGAACGUUGUUCGGAAUCACUGGGCUUAAAGGGCGCGUAGGCGGGUUCGCAAGUCUGUGGUGAAAUCCUCCGGCUCAACCGGAGAACUGCCUCGGAUACUGCGGGUCUCGAGGGUGAUAGGGGUAUGCGGAACUAUCGGUGGAGCGGUGAAAUGCGUUGAUAUCGAUAGGAACUCCGGAGGCGAAGGCGGCAUACUGGAUCACUUCUGACGCUGAGGCGCGAAAGCCAGGGGAGCAAACGGG